rnacentral:rRNA from 1 species
AGACCGAUAGCGAACAAGUAGAGUGAUCGAAAGAUGAAAAGCACUUUGAAAAGAGAGUUAAAAAGCACGUGAAAUUGUUGAAAGGGAAGCGCUUGCGAUCAGACUCGCCUUGGGGGUUCAGCCGGCAUUCGUGCCGGUGUACUUCCCCCAGGGCGGGCCAGCGUCGGUUUGGGUGGCCGGUCAAAGGCCCUUGGAAUGUAACGCCUCUCGGGGCGUCUUAUAGCCAAGGGUGCCAUGCGGCCUACCUGGACCGAGGAACGCGCUUCGGCUCGGACGCUGGCAUAAUGGUCGUAAGCGACCCGUCUUGAAACACGGACCAAG